AUACGGAAGGUCCGGGCGUUAUCCGGAUUUAUUGGGUUUAAAGGGAGCGCAGGCGGAGAUGCAAGCGUGACGUCAAAUUUCGGGGCUCAACCCCGUCUCGCGUCGCGAACUGCGUCCCUUGGUUGCGGGAAGGGGAGGCGGAACUCGUGGUGUAGCGGUGAAAUGCGUAGAUAUCACGAAGAACUCCGAUCGCGAAGGCAGCCUUCCGGCCCGUCAACGACGCUCAUGCUCGAAGGUGCGGGUAUCAAACAGGAUUAGAUACCCUGGUAGUCCGCACAGUAAACGAUGGACACCCGCGGUUUGGCCUAUAUGGCUGAGCCGCCAAGCGAAAGCGUUAAGUGUCCCACCUGGGGAGUACGCCGGCAACGGUGAAACUUAAAGGAAUUGACGGGG
rnacentral:rRNA from 1 species